rnacentral:rRNA from 1 species
GGUUAAAAAGCUCGUAGUUGGAUUUCUGUGUUGGUGAGGCGGCCGGCCACUCGUGGUUGUAGCUAGUUAUCACCGGCGCAUCUUGUCACAAGCCACGCUGGCCCUAACUGGUUGGCGCUGGGGACUGACUCGUUUACUUUGAGAAAACUAGAGUGUUCAAAGCAGGCUAUCGCCUUGAAUAUGUUAGCAUGGAAUAAUGAUAUAGGACUUUGGUUCUAUUUUGUUGGUUGUUCGAGAACCGAAGUAAUGAUUGAUAGGGACAGUUGGGGGCAUCAGUAUUCUGAAGCGAGAGGUGAAAUUCUUGGACCUUCGGAAGACUAACAACUGCGAAAGCAUUUGCCUAGGAUGUUCUCUAUAAUCAAGAACGAAAGUUGGGGGAUCGGAGACGAUCAGAUACCGUCGUAGUCUCAACUAUAAACUAUGCCAGCUAGGGAUUGGUGGACGUUUAUUUACGACUCCAUCAGCACCUUAUGAGAAAUCAAAGCAUUUGGGUUCCGGGGGGAGUAUGGUCGCAAGGCUGAAACUUAAAGGAAUUGACGGAAGGGCACCACCAGCCGUGGAGCCUGCGGCUUAAUUUGACUCAACACGGGGAAACUUACCAGGUCCAGACAUAGUAAGGAUUGACAGAUUGAUAGCUCUU